AGAGUUUGAUCAUGGCUCAGAUUGAACGCUGGCGGCAGGCCUAACACAUGCAAGUCGAGCGGAAACACAAGGGAGCUUGCUCCUGAGGUGUCGAGCGGCGGACGGGUGAGUAAUGCUUGGGAAACUGCCCAGUCGUGGGGGACAACCAUUGGAAACGAUGGCUAAUACCGCAUACGCCCUACGGGGGAAAGGAGGGGACUCUUCGGAGCCUUUCGCGAUUGGAUGUGCCCAAGUGGGAUUAGCUAGUUGGUGAGGUAAAGGCUCACCAAGGCGACGAUCCCUAGCUGGUUUGAGAGGAUGAUCAGCCGCACUGGAACUGAGACACGGUCCAGACUCCUACGGGAGGCAGCAGUGGGGAAUAUUGCACAAUGGAGGAAACUCUGAUGCAGCCAUGCCGCGUGUAUGAAGAAGGCCUUCGGGUUGUAAAGUACUUUCAGCGAGGAGGAAAGGUUAGUAGUUAAUAACUGCUAGCUGUGACGUUACUCGCAGAAGAAGGACCGGCUAACUCCGUGCCAGCAGCCGCGGUAAUAAU
rnacentral:rRNA from 1 species